rnacentral:snoRNA from 1 species
AGGCAUUUCAGUUGAGUUUAAUCAUUAAGUAGAACACAAGUAGCAUGUGCCAAGCAGCAGUGCCAGAGCAUAAGGACUUACUAUAACGGGGGCUCUUCAGCUCAACUGAACUGCCCUUUUAGAAACCAGGUACAAUU